rnacentral:rRNA from 1 species
GGUAUGCACUGGCUUCGCUGAUUCCUCCUUUCUGAAGAACUGUAAUGCCAUUAAUUUGGUGUUGCAGGGAAACAGGACUGUUACUUUGAAAAAAUUAGAGUGUUUAAAGCAGGCUAAGGCUUGAAUACAUUAGCAUGGAAUAAUGAAAUAGGACGUUCGAUCCUAUUUUGUUGGUUUCUAGGAUUGACGUAAUGAUUAAUAGGGAUAGUUGGGGGCAUUAGUAUUCAAUUGUCAGAGGUGAAAUUCUUGGAUUUAUUGAAGACUAACUACUGCGAAAGCAUUUGCCAAGGAUGUUUUCAUUAAUCAAGAACGAAAGUUAGGGGAUCGGAGACGAUCAGAUACCGUCGUAGUCUUAACCAUAAACUAUGCCGACUAGGGAUCGGAUGAUGUUAAUUUUUUAAUGACUCAUUCGGCGCCUUACG